rnacentral:rRNA from 1 species
UACGUAAGGUGCGAGCGUUAAUCGGAAUUACUGGGCGUAAAGGGCUUGUAGGUGGCCAACUAAGUCAGACGUGAAAUCCCUCGGCUUAACCGGGGAACUGCGUCUGAUACUGGAUGGCUUGAGUUCGGGAGAGGGAUGCGGAAUUCCAGGUGUAGCGGUGAAAUGCGUAGAUAUUCGGAGGAACACCAGUGGCGAAGGCGGCUCACUGGCUCGGUACUGACGCUGAGGUGCGAAAGCGUGGGGAGCAAACAGG